rnacentral:rRNA from 1 species
UUUGAUCCUGGCUCAGGAUGAACGCUGGCGGCGUGCUUAACACAUGCAAGUCGAACGGGAAACCUUUUAUUGAAGCUUCGGCAGAUUUAGAUUGUUUCUAGUGGCGGACGGGUGAGUAACGCGUGGGUAACCUGCCUUAUACAGGGGGAUAACAGUCAGAAAUGACUGCUAAUACCGCAUAAGCGCACAGAGCUGCAUGGCUCGGUGUGAAAAACUCCGGUGGUAUAAGAUGGACCCGCGUUGGAUUAGCUAGUUGGUGAGGUAACGGCCCACCAAGGCGACGAUCCAUAGCCGGCCUGAGAGGGUGAACGGCCACAUUGGGACUGAGACACGGCCCAGACUCCUACGGGAGGCAGCAGUGGGGAAUAUUGCACAAUGGGGGAAACCCUGAUGCAGCGACGCCGCGUGAAGGAAGAAGUAUCUCGGUAUGUAAACUUCUAUCAGCAGGGAAGAAAAUGACGGUACCUGACUAAGAAGCCCCGGCUAACUACGUGCCAGCAGCCGCGGUAAUACGUAGGGGGCAAGCGUUAUCCGGAUUUACUGGGUGUAAAGGGAGCGUAGACGGAUGGACAAGUCUGAUGUGAAAGGCUGGGGCUCAACCCCGGGACUGCAUUGGAAACUGCCCGUCUUGAGUGCCGGAGAGGUAAGCGGAAUUCCUAGUGUAGCGGUGAAAUGCGUAGAUAUUAGGAGGACACCAGUGGCGAAGGCGGCUACUGACGGACUGCCUUGAGCUCGAAGCGUGGGAGCAACGGAUAA